GACGAACGCUGGCGGCGUGCUUAACACAUGCAAGUCGAACGGAAAGGCCCUGCUUUUGUGGGGUGCUCGAGUGGCGAACGGGUGAGUAACACGUGAGUAACCUGCCCUUGACUUUGGGAUAACUUCAGGAAACUGGGGCUAAUACCGGAUAGGAGCUCCUGCUGCAUGGUGGGGGUUGGAAAGUUUCGGCGGUUGGGGAUGGACUCGCGGCUUAUCAGCUUGUUGGUGGGGUAGUGGCUUACCAAGGCUUUGACGGGUAGCCGGCCUGAGAGGGUGACCGGCCACAAUGGGACUGAGAUACGGCCCAGACUCGUACGGGAGGCAGCAGUGGGGAAUAUUGCACAAUGGGCGGAAGCCUGAUGCAGCAACGCCGCGUGCGGGAUGACGGCCUUCGGGUUGUAAACCGCUUUCGCCUGUGACGAAGCGUGAGUGACGGUAAUGGGUAAAGAAGCACCGGCUAACUACGUG
rnacentral:rRNA from 1 species